AACGCUGGCGGCGUGCUUAACACAUGCAAGUCGAACGCGAAAGGGACUUCGGUCCUGAGUAAAGUGGCGCACGGGUGAGUAACGCGUGGAUAAUCUGCCCCUAUGAUCGGGAUAACAGUUGGAAACGGCUGCUAAUACCGGAUACGCUCAAAAUGAACUUUUUGAGGAAAGAUGGCCUCUGCUUGCAUGCUAUCACGUAAGGAUGAGUCCGCGUCCCAUUAGCUUGGUUGGCGGGGUAACGGCCCACCAAGGCAACGAUGGGUAGCCGAUUUGAGAGGAUGAUCGGCCACACUGGAACUGAAACACGGGUCCAGACUCCUACGGGAGGCAGCAGUGGGGAAUAUUGCGCAAUGGGCGAAAGCCUGACGCAGCGACGCCGCGUGAGGGAUGAAAAGGUUUUCGGAUCGUAAACCUCUGUCAGAAGGGAAGAAACUACGUUGUGCUAAUCAGCAGCGUACUGACGGUACCUUCAAAGGAAGCACCGGCUAACUCCGUGCCAGCAGCAGC
rnacentral:rRNA from 1 species